rnacentral:rRNA from 1 species
GUCCACGCCGUAAACGAUGUCAACUAGCUGUUGGUCAUAUAAAUGUGAUUAGUGGCGAAGCUAACGCGAUAAGUUGACCGCCUGGGGAGUACGGUCGCAAGAUUAAAACUCAAAGGAAUUGACGGGGGCCCGCACAAGCGGUGGAGCAUGUGGUUUAAUUCGAUGCAACGCGAAGAACCUUACCUACCCUUGACAUACAGUGAAUUAAGCAGAGAUGUUUGAGUGCCUUCGGGAACACUGAUACAGGUGCUGCAUGGCUGUCGU